rnacentral:rRNA from 1 species
AGUCGAGCGGACAGAUGGGAGCUUGCUCCCUGAUGUUAGCGGCGGACGGGUGAGUAACACGUGGGUAACCUGCCUGUAAGACUGGGAUAACUCCGGGAAACCGGGGCUAAUACCGGAUGGUUGUCUGAACCGCAUGGUUCAGACAUAAAAGGUGGCUUCGGCUACCACUUACAGAUGGACCCGCGGCGCAUUAGCUAGUUGGUGAGGUAACGGCUCACCAAGGCGACGAUGCGUAGCCGACCUGAGAGGGUGAUCGGCCACACUGGGACUGAGACACGGCCCAGACUCCUACGGGAGGCAGCAGUAGGGAAUCUUCCGCAAUGGACGAAAGUCUGACGGAGCAACGCCGCGUGAGUGAUGAAGGUUUUCGGAUCGUAAAGCUCUGUUGUUAGGGAAGAACAAGUGCCGUUCAAAUAGGGCGGCACCUUGACGGUACCUAACCAGAAAGCCACGGCUAACUACGUGCCAGCAGCCGCGGUAAUACGUAGGUGGCAAGCGUUGUCCGGAAUUAUUGGGCGUAAAGGGCUCGCAGGCGGUUUCUUAAGUCUGAUGUGAAAGCCCCCGGCUCAACCGGGGAGGGUCAUUGGAAACUGGGGAACUUGAGUGCAGAAGAGGAGAGUGGAAUUCCACGUGUAGCGGUGAAAUGCGUAGAGAUGUGGAGGAACACCAGUGGCGAAGGCGACUCUC